AUCCAGCUGACGAGUCCCAAAUAGGACGAAACGUGUGUCAAACUGGAU
rfam:Schistosoma rodhaini strain Burundi genome assembly, scaffold: SROB_scaffold0001606